UACGAGCGGCCCAAACGUUAUUCGGAAUUACUGGGCUUAAAGAGUUCGUAGGCGGCAUGAAAAGUAGGGUGUGAAAGCCCUCGGCUCAACCGAGGAACUGCUUUUGAGACUGCCGAGCUAGAGUGCAGAAGGGGCAACUGGAAUUCCCAGUGUAGCGGUGAAAUGCGUAGAUAUUGGGAAGAACACCUGAGGCGAAGGCGGGUUGCUGGGCUGACACUGACGCUGAGGCGCGAAAGCCAGGGGAGCAAACGGG
rnacentral:rRNA from 1 species